UAAUCUCACUAUGAUGGACUUUUUGGUCUUUCGUAUGUGGACUUGGACGUUUGCCGUGGAUAUCUACGGCUCGUCUGAAAUGCUUCAGUGUACCCCGCAGAGCGGCGUAUUCGGUGUGAUACAUCUUCACCGGAGUUGAUCCUUUACGGGUCGCGUCUGUAAUGUGUGGCUCUAUGCUUCAAACCGUCUCUUGAAUGGGACAAUCUCUGACAAU
rnacentral:misc_RNA from 1 species